rnacentral:rRNA from 1 species
CCUACGGGUGGCAGCAGUAGGGAAUAUUGCGCAAUGGGGGAAACCCUGAAGCAGCAACGCCGCGUGGAGGAUGAAGGUCUUCGGAUUGUAAACUCCUUUUGUCAGAGAAGAAAAUGACGGUAUCUAACGAAUAAGCACCGGCUAACUCCGUGCCAGCAGCCGCGGUAAUACGGAGGGUGCAAGCGUUACUCGGAAUCACUGGGCGUAAAGAGCGCGUAGGCGGGAUAGCAAGUCAGAUGUGAAAUCCUAGGGCUUAACCAUAGAACUGCAUUUGAAACUGUUAUUCUAGAGUAUGGGAGAGGUAGGUGGAAUUCUUGGUGUAGGGGUGAAAUCCGUAGAGAUCAAGAGGAAUACUCAUUGCGAAGGCGACCUGCUAGAACAUAACUGACGCUGAUGCGCGAAAGCGUGGGGAGCAAACAGGAUUAGAUACCCGAGUAGUC